rnacentral:rRNA from 1 species
AGUACAGGGAGUUGUAGCUGGCCGUAAGGCAUGUGCACACUCUCUACUCAAUCCAACCUUACACCUGUGCAUCUAUUGUAGGUCGGGUGGCUUGGCUUGCGUCAGGCUGUCCUUCCUAUGUCUACAUAUACACUUUGUAGUCUCAGAAUGUAAACUGCGUAUAUCGCAUCUAUAAACAACUUUCAACAACGGAUCUCUUGGCUCUCGCAUCGAUGAAGAACGCAGCGAAAUGCGAUAAGUAAUGUGAAUUGCAGAAUUCAGUGAAUCAUCGAAUCUUUGAACGCACCUUGCGCUCCUUGGUAUUCCGAGGAGCAUGCCUGUUUGAGUGUCAUGAAUAUCUCAACUCACCCAGUUUUUGUGACUUGUGGUGGGCUUGGACUUGGAGGUAUGCCGGCUUUACUGGUCGGCUCCUCUUUAAAUGUAUUAGCUGGACCCGUUACGGAUCAGUACUCGGUGUGAUAAUUGUCUACGCCGUGUCUGUGAAGUGCCCUAGUGGCUUAGCUUCUAAUCGUCUUCGGACAAUUUUGACAUUUUGACCUCAAAUCAGGUAGGAUUACCCGCUGAACUUAAGCAUAUCAAUA